UACGUAGGGUGCGAGCGUUGUCCGGAUUUAUUGGGCGUAAAGAGCUCGUAGGCGGUUUGUCGCGUCGGCCGUGAAAUCUCCACGCUUAACGUGGAGCGUGCGGUCGAUACGGGCAGGCUCGAGUUCGGUAGGGGAGACUGGAAUUCCUGGUGUAGCGGUGAAAUGCGCAGAUAUCAGGAGGAACACCGGUGGCGAAGGCGGGUCUCUGGCAGUAACUGACGCUGAGGAGCGAAAGCGUGGGAGCGAACAGG
rnacentral:rRNA from 1 species